UGGGGAAUAUUGGACAAUGGGCGAAAGCCUGAUCCAGCCAUGCCGCGUGUGUGAAGAAGGUCUUCGGAUUGUAAAGCACUUUAAGUUGGGAGGAAGGGCAUUAACCUAAUACGUUAGUGUUUUGACGUUACCGACAGAAUAAGCACCGGCUAACUCUGUGGCAGCAGCCGCGGUAAUACAGAGGGUGCAAGCGUUAAUCGGAAUUACUGGGCGUAAAGCGCGCGUAGGUGGUUUGUUAAGUUGGAUGUGAAAUCCCCGGGCUCAACCUGGGAACUGCAUUCAAAACUGACUGACUAGAGUAUGGUAGAGGGUGGUGGAAUUUCCUGUGUAGCGGUGAAAUGCGUAGAUAUAGGAAGGAACACCAGUGGCGAAGGCGACCACCUGGACUAAUACUGACACUGAGGUGCGAAAGCGUGGGGAGCAAACA
rnacentral:rRNA from 1 species